AGAGUUUGAUCAUGGCUCAGAUUGAACGCUGGCGGCAGGCCUAACACAUGCAAGUCGAACGGUAACAGGAAGCAGCUUGCUGCUUCGCUGACGAGUGGCGGACGGGUGAGUAAUGUCUGGGAAACUGCCUGAUGGAGGGGGAUAACUACUGGAAACGGUAGCUAAUACCGCAUAACGUCGCAAGACCAAAGAGGGGGGACCUUCGGGCCUCUUGCCAUCGGAUGUGCCCAGAUGGGAUUAGCUUGUUGGUGGGGUAACGGCUCACCAAGGCGACGAUCCCUAGCUGGUCUGAGAGGAUGACCAGCCACACUGGAACUGAGACACGGUCCAGACUCCUACGGGAGGCAGCAGUGGGGAAUAUUGCACAAUGGGCGCAAGCCUGAUGCAGCCAUGCCGCGUGUAUGAAGAAGGCCUUCGGGUUGUAAAGUACUUUCAGCGGGGAGGAAGGGAGUAAAGUUAAUACCUUUGCUCAUUGACGUUACCCGCAGAAGAAGCACCGGCUAACUCCGUGCCAGCAGCCGCGGUAAUACGGAGGGUGCAAGCGUUAAUCGGAAUUACUGGGCGUAAAGCGCACGCAGGCGGUUUGUUAAGUCAGAUGUGAAAUCCCCGGGCUCAACCUGGGAACUGCAUCUGAUACUGGCAAGCUUGAGUCUCGUAGAGGGGGGUAGAAUUCCAGGUGUAGCGGUGAAAUGCGUAGAGAUCUGGAGGAAUACCGGUGGCGAAGGCGGCCCCCUGGACGAAGACUGACGCUCAGGUGCGAAAGCGUGGGGAGCAAACAGGAUUAGAUACCCUGGUAGUCCACGCCGUAAACGAUGUCGACUUGGAGGUUGUGCCCUUGAGGCGUGGCUUCCGGAGCUAACGCGUUAAGUCGACCGCCUGGGGAGUACGGCCGCAAGGUUAAAACUCAAAUGAAUUGACGGGGGCCCGCACAAGCGGUGGAGCAUGUGGUUUAAUUCGAUGCAACGCGAAGAACCUUACCUGGUCUUGACAUCCACAGAACUUUCCAGAGAUGGAUUGGUGCCUUCGGGAACUGUGAGACAGGUGCUGCAUGGCUGUCGUCAGCUCGUGUUGUGAAAUGUUGGGUUAAGUCCCGCAACGAGCGCAACCCUUAUCCUUUGUUGCCAGCGGUCCGGCCGGGAACUCAAAGGAGACUGCCAGUGAUAAACUGGAGGAAGGUGGGGAUGACGUCAAGUCAUCAUGGCCCUUACGACCAGGGCUACACACGUGCUACAAUGGCGCAACAAAGAGAAGCGACCUCGCGAGAGCAAGCGGACCUCAUAAAGUGCGUCGUAGUCCGGAUUGGAGUCUGCAACUCGACUCCAUGAAGUCGGAAUCGCUAGUAAUCGUGGAUCAGAAUGCCACGGUGAAUACGUUCCCGGGCCUUGUACACACCGCCCGUCACACCAUGGGAGUGGGUUGCAAAAGAAGUAGGUAGCUUAACCUUCGGGAGGGCGCUUACCACUUUGUGAUUCAUGACUGGGGUGAAGUCGUAACAAGGUAACCGUAGGGGAACCUGCGGUUGGAUCACCU
rnacentral:rRNA from 1 species